CUAGCCGUAAACGAUGGAUACUAGGUGUUAGAGGUAUCGACCCCUCUAGUGCCGCAGCUAACGCAUUAAGUAUCCCGCCUGGGGAGUACGACCGCAAGGUUGAAACUCAAAGGAAUUGACGGGGGCCCGCACAAGCGGUGGAGCAUGUGGUUUAAUACGUCACUAACCGUAGAACCUUACCCAGGCUUGACAUCUGGUGUAAGUCCAUGAAAGUGGUACCCCGCUAUAGCAAUAUAGCGCACCAAGACAGGUGU
rnacentral:rRNA from 1 species